GUUAAACCCUCUGUACUAAGUAGUACAGACGAAAACAGCCCGUGAGAGAGAGAGAGAGAGAGGAGAAGAAGAUGAACAAGAAAAAGCUGAAAAUUCUUGUUUCUCUCUUCGCUCUCAACUCAAUCACUCUCUAUCUCUACUUCUCUUCCCACCCUGAUCACAAAUCCCCCCAAAACCACUUUUCCUUGUCGGAAAACCACCAUCAUAAUUUCCACUCUUCAAUCACUUCUCAAUAUUCCAAGCCUUGGCCUAUUUUGCCCUCCUACCUCCCUUGGUCUCAAAACCCUAAUGUUUCUCGUCGCAAAUCCCCCCAGAACCACUUUUCCUCGUCGGAAAACCACCAUCAUAAUUUCCACUCUUCAAUCACUUCCCAAUAUUCCAGGCCUUGGCCUAUUUUGCCCUCCUACCUCCCUUGGUCUCAAAACCCUAAUGUUGCUUGGAGAUCAUGCGAGGGUUACUUCGGUAAUGGUUUUACUCUCAAAGUUGAUCUUCUCAAAACUUCGCCGGAGCUUCACCGGAAAUUCGGCGAAAACACCGUCUUCGGAG
rnacentral:lncRNA from 1 species